AAGCGUCCUAAGGUGACGUCAGCCCGGUACUGACGAACAGCCGGUAACGUUUUGUAGCCGUGUGCUAACCCGCCGAUUUUUGUCUUCUUUCCCGGUCAAAGUUGCAAACAUCAUGACUUUCGAUGUCAGGAGAUUCGAUAUCUACCGGAAAGUGCCUAAAGAUCUCACCCAGCCCACAUAUACGGGCGCAUUCAUUUCCAUCCUCUGCUGUGUCUUCAUCCUCUUCCUCUUCCUCUCUGAGCUGACUGGGUUCAUAGCGACUGAAAUUGUAAAUGAACUGUAUGUGGACGACCCUGAUAAGGACAGUGGUGGGAAGAUAGAUGUGAGUUUAAACAUCAGUUUGCCAAACUUACACUGUGAUUUGGUGGGUCUGGACAUCCAGGAUGAGAUGGGCCGCCAUGAAGUCGGUCACAUAGACAACUCGAUGAAGAUCCCUCUGAACCAGGGAGACGGUUGUCGCUUCGAAGGAGAAUUCACCAUCAACAAAGUGCCAGGAAACUUCCAUGUAUCGACUCACAGUGCAACAGCCCAACCCCAGAGUCCGGAUAUGACGCACACCAUCCACAAGCUGGCAUUUGGGGAAAAGCUGCAGGGUCUAAAAGUUCAGGGUGCUUUCAACGCACUUGGAGGCGCUGACAGACUGUCCUCUAAUCCUCUGGCGUCACAUGACUACAUCCUGAAGAUCGUUCCGACAGUCUAUGAAGAUCUGUCGGGCCGACAGAGGUUUUCUUACCAGUACACAGUGGCCAACAAGGAAUACGUCGCGUACAGCCACACGGGCCGGAUAAUCCCCGCCAUCUGGUUCCGUUACGACCUCAGUCCGAUCACAGUCAAAUAUACAGAGAGGAGACAGCCGCUGUACCGCUUCAUCACAACAAUCUGUGCCAUCGUAGGAGGGACCUUCACGGUCGCAGGCAUCAUCGACUCCUGCAUAUUCACCGCGUCAGAGGCCUGGAAGAAAAUCCAAAUUGGAAAAAUGUCCUGAAGACUGCUCCUCCACUCUUCUCACGACUUAUUUAUGUGGCCUGGAAGUUACAUCUCCUAGUUCCAUGAAUGAAGUGGAUCUAACUACCAGACCUCAGAAUGUGUCGAGAAUGACUCCGGUUUGGCCCCUGAGCCGUGAGUUUCUGAUCUGAAGGGUCCAACGUUGGUCGUAAGGAAGUGUGAUUGAGGAGGACUGGAAAAUGAUCCACCUUUUGUUUUGUGUUUUGUUUCUGUGGCCAACCGGUCAGAGAGAUACUGGUUACACAAUGUAACCGCAGCUCUAUGAAAAUGUGUGUAGUCCCCUGAAACUUCACGUAAAAGUGACGUCGUAACACUUCUGAAAUAGAUUUUUAUGAUUUUCCGCGCUGACGCGUCCCAUAUACAACCAGCUUCUGAUGUAAGUGAUGGGUUAAAUAUUGCUGAAGGUUUAUUGAGACGGUGCCGCGGCUGUUGUAGCUAACUCAGGGCGUUGACGCACUUCACUCAUGGUUUGUUGCAACAGACAGAUAAUAGUCAGUUGACCUCGUUGUGUUUUGCCUCCUCAGCCAUUUUGCAUCCUCUGGUGACCUUUGCACCUCUUCUGCCGUAUUAUUACCUUGACUGGUGCGUUGAAGUGGACUUCAGACGCAGACGCUGCUUAUUUCCCCUCAUCUGGCUGCAUGCCGACUCUGUCGUGUCAGAGCGACUCGUGCUGACGUGACCGUGACUGGUGACUCCUGUGUCCCGGCCUGAAAACUCCCUGGAUUCCCCUCUGAGCUGCUCUUCUUGAGUCCAACUGAAUGUGACGAUGUAACCUACAAACUGCUUCUCAAAGCCUUGACUAUGACAGUAAAACAACGAUCGAGUCAAUCUUGACUCAGAAGUUCGGUGGGCAGUUUCUUCUCAAUCAAAGAGAGUUUUUUUUAGGUGAAUGGUUGCUCAGGUUUUCAAAGCCAGGACCUAGAAAUGUGGAUGGACAGACAAGUAAGACUCAGGCAAGGAAAAAGAUCUAUCUACUGAGCUGUCUCUCAGAACCUCCAGAGAUAUGCCUCUAAACCAGGGAUGUCAAAAUUGUGGCCCAUGGGCCUUUUGCAGCCCUCAGGAAAUGGCUUUGUGGCCCACCCCUGGGCAUGGCCCCCACAAGGCCCUCCCUUUUGGCCCAAAGCGAGAUGCAUAGAAAUCACUGUAUAAGCAAAUUCCAGUGGGUGACGUUUAGGCUUUACAUUGGAAUGAUGGACCUAAAUUCCAGUGCAGAUACACUACAAAUGUACUUGGAAUUUGGUUGCGUUUUUACUCAUGGUUCCACGGUGACUUUACCAUACCUUUGGUCCCAGGAGACCACGCAAAUGGAACACAGCUUAAACACAGACUGAGCUGGGUGCAGUUUCUGUUCAGUUGUUAAGGCUUAAUUUAGGAUCAGUUUCCGCCGCGGUUCGGACCGGACAACACAUUUUAGGCAGCCUACAGGAUCUUAUCUUCCUUCUACAAAAGGUCAUAUCCUUUUAGGGAACCUUAAUGGCCUCAUGAAACGACAUGGCAGGCUAACUUUUGGCCCCAAGGCCUUGUGUUAUGUGCUCUAGUUCAAGACUAAAAAAGGGUGACAUGGACACUGCUGAUAGGAAAUCAGUUGCUCCAGGUCUGGAGGGUUCAAGUAUCUCGAGGUCUGGAUGAGUAAUGGAAAGAUGGACCCGUCGUGAGUCAGCGAGGAGCUGAGCCACGGGGCAGAGCUCUUGAUUUACCUGUCGAUCCUCAUUUGUUCUGUCGCCCCUGGUUCCCGGCGGUGACAUAAGAAAGAAGAGACGAGGCUGGAAGGAUCUUGUGUUGAAGUUGCUCUGGCGUCCAGUCAGGAUACCACCGAGACGCCUCCCCGGUGAGGUGCUCCACAGGCGCCCCAGGGCAGACCCUGGACCCGCGCGUGGGGAUUAUGUUUCAUGCUUGGCCGUGGACAUUCUCCCAGAAGAGCUGGACUAGGGGUGGGGGGGGGCCAUCGUUCCCUAAUGUCUGGACCAAAUAGAAAUGAAUGUUCCAAGAUGAUCAAGUUGAUCCUCAUAUGUAGAUUGGGUCUAGCAGCCCAAGUCAGCAUUCAAUCUGGGAUUAGAUUUUUCUUUAUUUAUUUUGUGCUUGUGGAGAGAAAUUGGGUAACAAUUGUGGAGUGGGGUGUGUCCAAGCCCACUGUCUAAUCCUGAUUCAAAUGCUGGAUUCAAAUAUUUAGGUCGAGCUUUAACCAUAACCAUAAGAAAUAAUGGAACCACUAGUGAAUACAUUCAUUUAUUUUCCCAAUAUGAGUCAUAGUUCGUGCAGAAAAAGUACUCUGAAAAGGUAAAAAAAAACAUGGGCGCCGCUGUUUUCGUCGCGAUGAUGCCCCCUCGUGGUUGGUAGGAGAAACGUCAGUUCCACAACAGUUCAGGAUUAAAAUUGAGAUACAUCUUCGGUUAAACAGCGGAGGAAGGCAAGAAGGUGGAGUCCGCAGCGGAGAAGAAGCCGUCCUCGGACAGGCGGCCGUACUCGUUGUUGUAGAAGGUCUGGCCGCUCAUCUGGCUGAAGAAGUUGGAGCCCAGUGAGCUGUCGGCUGCUGUGAGCGGCUCAGUGCUGCUGCUGCUGCUCAUGCGGCUGGAAGGAAAGAAAGCUUCAUCAGAGAACGCCACUCCAGCCGACCUGUUGUUGACGGACAUGAACCUUUUGUAGACGCCGCGUCUGUGCUUGUGCUCCACUCUCUCCAACUCGUCCGAGGCCAGAACCAUCCCGCUGUCGGUCUGGUUGUCCUGAGGAGACGGACACGUGACCGUCGCCACCAAGUUGGUGGGAAUUAAACAACUUACUUGUGUCGCCUGUGGCUGCGUCUCCAGUGGCAGCUCUUCAAAGGUCUCCACUCGGGGUUGGCAUGUUUUGGAGGAUCCCACAAACACAGAGCCGGAGAAGGGCAUGCAGUUGUAGUACCUGCUUCGGAUGAUAUCAGGAGGUCCGUCAGAUGUGGGGGAUUAUUUGAGGUGGAAAA